CCCGCAACAAAGCCAGUGUUGCUUUCGAGGGAUCAACUGCUCGUUUUCGAUAUAGAACUGGAUAAUCAAAAACAGCGUCUCUUUUAUUUUUUUUGGAAUCGAGCGAAAUGAUAUGCUGAAACGGGUACUAGCUUGAAAACCGCCGCAGAACGAAGCAACGCUGUCGGUUGAGGCCUCACCGGGCUUUCAUAAAUCAGUCUCUCAACAAUCAGUAUUUCUUAUGAAUAGUAGGGCACUGAGGGAGAACUUAUCGACGACAAAAAAGACGAGGUUUCUGUUGGAGGGUCCCUGACGCCCCGAGUCAAAUGGAAUUGAAAAGACUUUUUUUAUAUUUAUAAACAAGGUGGCAUCU
rnacentral:lncRNA from 1 species